rnacentral:rRNA from 1 species
UACAGAGGGAGCGAGCGUUAUCCGGAAUGAUUGGGCGUAAAGCGUCUGUAGGUGGUUUAGAAAGUCUACUGUCAAAUACCAAGGCUCAACCUUGGGCAGGCAGUAGAGUACUUUUAGACUAGAGUUGUGGUAGAGGUAGAGGGAAUCCCUAGCGUAACAGUGAAAUGUGUAGAUUUUAGGGAGAACACCAGCGGCGAAGGCGCUCUACUGGGCCAAGACUGACACUGAGAGACGAAAGCUAGGGGAGCGAAUAGG